rnacentral:lncRNA from 1 species
AUGUUUGGGGAACAACAGCUAAGGCCCUGUGGAGCAGCUUACAGGAAAAGAAAACAACACCUGGGAACAGAGGAAUCAGUGAUGGUGAGUUAUCAUUUUAAUCAUUUUUCCUGUAAUGACAUUUUUUCUUUGCCUUUUUGUUUCUUCGACAUGAGCUCUGCAUUGCAAGUGAAAUUUGAAGCAGUUUCAUCAAGGUUAUCAUUUCGGUUAGGAGCAUCUUCCACCAGAUUCACAACCAUUAUAAGUCAAAAGCACAAGCAGGCUGUAUAGUCUGGGGUGUUGUCUGGGAAGGUACAGAAGGUACAUUUUAUUGAAUUGCACAAGGAGUUUUUUGAAGUCCAGGCUGUGCUAAAUAAAUGAUACAUUGCCAGCUGAAAGGUUCA